rnacentral:rRNA from 1 species
UACGAAGGGGGCAAGCGUUGUUCGGAAUUAUUGGGCGUAAAGGGAGCGUAGGCGGUUCGGCAAGUCUUUAGUGAAAUCUCUGGGCUCAACUCAGAGUCUGCUGGAGAAACCGCCGGGCUGGAGUAUGGGAGAGGUGAGUGGAAUUCCCGGUGUAGCGGUGAAAUGCGUAGAUAUCGGGAGGAAUACCUGUGGCGAAAGCGGCUCACUGGACCAUUACUGACGCUGAGGCUCGAAAGCUAGGGGAGCAAACAGG